rnacentral:lncRNA from 1 species
AAAAAAAAAAAAAAAAAACUUAUGCGUAUUAUCUUUCUAAUUGAACAUGAGCAUGAAGCAUACUGAAUUCCAGCAUAAGGUGUUCAAUUUUUUCUAAAAAAAAAUAGCAUUACAGUCAUUUUACUAUGCCAACAGGUUGAUGGAAUAUGUGGAGAAAUUAUAUCCUGUACCAAUGUGGCCAUGCAUAUCACCGAUUACAAUCAUUCAUUCCGAUGGACCAUGCACACUAAGGAAUUGAUGGAAUAUGUGCAGAAAUUAUAUCAUGCCAAGAGGUUAAUGGAAUAUAUGUAUGGCCAUAUAGUGCAUACCACACAGCAUAUAAUCUCCCGUAGAUACAUCAAGCCCCAACAUAAGCCUAUAUACAUAUGCCAACUUGAUUAAAUAUAGCUUCUUUCCCGGUCAUCAGUGAAAUGAUAAAUAUGAACUAUGAUUUAACUACGUGGUCAUUGUGGAGAUUCUAGAAACUACUUAACAAAAAAAAUCUUGAUAUAUGGUAUAGUUUGAUGCAUCAAUUCUAAAUAAAAAUAUACGAUUGAUGUGAAAAAGUUUAAAAAGAUAUUAGAUAAAUUAUACUUCUGAUCCUUGAACUAAAUUGGAUUUUUUUAAAUGAUCUAUAAAUUGUAAAAAGCUAAAGUAUAGCCCAUGAACUAUCUGAACCGAUUUAAUGUUAUCGUUCAGUAAAAUUUCGACUGUUUUUUCUUAUCAAAAAUUUGAUGUGGUAAUCUCUAAUGCUUAUAUAGUAUUUAUACGAUAUUAAAAUUUCAAAAGAAUCAUUGCAUCGAUGGACUUCUUCAGCUGAUGAGGAGGAGAAGUCGAUGAAAGACCUCUCUCACCAUAUUGUUUCUCAAACUCCAUUUCCACCCCAAGCAUCCUCGUGUUUCUCUCCAUAGAAGGCUUAGAGAAUGCCCUAAUCGGAGAUUUACCUUUCCCUUUCUCUCUCAUCAGACUUUGUCUCACUAGAUGGUUUUUUAAAAUAAAAGUGGCUUAAGGGUCUUGAUCAUGAUGUCAAGUCGGAUUGAGCAUGCAUUAGAGUUUAAUAUAUUAUUGUUCUAACUUGAAUUGAUCUUAAUCUAAAGCAACUCAAGUCACUGCCACCUCCAUCUGCAUUGGCAACUCAAGAAAAGGACAUAGCAUGAGGUGAGACAAUGAAUUUGAACAAAUAAUAUAUGAACGUGUGAACACGAACGGUAUGCUAGCAAAGCCAUAUUUUUUUGAUUUCAUGAAAUUGAUAGGUUGCUAUCUUUUUCUUUUCCAUUCAGAUGUAUGAUCCUGGCACUACGUAUGCUUGAAUUCUUAACACCUUCUUGAUACAAAGCAUAGAGUAAAACUAGCACUAAUAAACUACUGUCAAUGAAGAGUGAACUAGCAUUUUUCUCUCCAUUAAUCAAUAAUAAAAUCGAACUACUAUUCAUAAAAAGUUCAAAGUUUUGAUUAGAUAUAUAUUUUGCAAUUGUCAUUGGAAUAAUCAUUUUACAUCAGUACAAACAGAAAUGCUAUGACAACAUGCACCUCUAGAUAUCCCAAUAAUGAAACUUCAGUAGCUGAACAAAUAACAAAGCUUCCACUCCAAAUAUAGCAACUUAUCCUAUAUGUCAAGGUUUUAGUAAAUAUAUAAAAUAAUUCUGGGGUCUAUUCUCAUCUUCGGCGGGGUUUGGUUAGUUAGGCAAUUCAGAGAGGGCUACCUUUGUGUAGCCCAUUUAUCAUCCAAAAAAAAGAAAAGAAAAGAAAAGAAAAGAAAAAAUCUACCUCCAGCUUUGCAUUGCUGUUCUCUCUACCUCCCCAUAGAUACUAAAUAAAGCUUCAUCCAUGAGAAUAAUAUUACUCUUUUCUUUCAUCAGAUUGCACUGCCGUUCCAUCUCCUGCCAGCGGCACUCACUUGAACGUACCUGACACGCACUAGCAACGUUUUAAAUCACGCACGAACCAACAAGCGUGCCGUGUCGCAACUGGGUGAUUUUUUAAGGCGGUACAUUUUGGGUUCCCUGCGAGCACUCUCCGUGGCACACUGGCAUGUAUCACUCUGUCAAACCGGUCCCUCAUGCACGGGCGGUACCUAGAAAGACCCAAACCUGUUUCAUGUGCGCCGGUCCAAAUCCUAGACCAAAUGUUUGGGAGCAGAACGAACUACGUUUGGCUGAUCGGACCGGACCGGAUUCGCCUCAACCAGCCGGGUCAAGUCUCGAAGGCAGCUGAAGACUCCUGAACGUUCCGGUCAGUUUCGCCUUGGUCGGAUAUCGCUGACAGCUCCUCGCCCUCGCUCAUCUCUUCUUACCAACAACCAAUGGCCGCAAUCCUUGGGACUCCGGCACUCCUCUUCCCCUCGCCGAGGCCGGCCGUUGCAUCUCGCGAGACUCCAACGAGCGUCGCGACCUUCUUUCUUAAUCAGAGGCUCGCAAGGCCUCUGCGUCUAAACCUAUCCCCUUUCCCCGAAAAACCUCUACUACGCUUCCCGGGAUUUCCGCCCUUCGCUGCUGCCAAUGGAGAGGCCACAGAGGCCGACGUGGUCGAAGAAACUGUGGCCACGGUAUCGUUUUCUGGCUUCCUCUCUAAGUAUUGGGUAGAAAUUCAUUAGAAUUUAUGCUGGGAUUUAUAAUUCCAAAUCAAGAUUCCUUUUUUUUUUUCUUUUGUGUGUGUGGGGGUGGGGGGGUGGUGUGGUGUUAUAGUUCUGCGUCAAUGAAUCUUCUUCUUUAUCAUCUUGGUCUUGAGGUUUUUUUUUUUUUUUGAUAUCCUUGUUUACAUUGUGUUCGGUUAUAUGAUUGUGUGGGUUUGUGAUUGGCAUGCAAGGAUUUGUUUUGGUGUGUUGAUCUGUUCAAAUUUUGCCUUGUGACUGUAGGAUUUUUUUUGCAAAUGUUAGGACGGUCUGCCAUCAUGAUAAUUUUUAUUUAAGUAUGUUAAAUCAUAGGAAGAGUUGAGGAGGAAAAUAAUCUAGAUUUAGGUGAUAUUGAUUUAGAAAAAGCAUUUAGAUUAAGUAAUAUAGUUGACUUAUGGCCGAACGCAUAUGCAAGUCAUAUUUGAGAUUAUCUUCAAUAUCAAUAAGGCACUGAUUGCGCAUGGGGAGUAGUUGUCGUGAGAUUUCUGCAACUAAAAGAUGAUUAGAAUCAGCUUUAAUCCAUUGUAUGCUUACAUUUCUCCUAUGUGGAAUCUAUAGACAUUUUGGUCAUUGGUCAAAAUGCUACAUGCAUGCCCAAAUGUGGAUUCAUGAUUCAAAGAUGAAUUCAAAUUACAGGAAACAAUCACUGGAUUUGAGUUAGUUGCAACACAAUGAAUUGCAGUAAGUUCAGCUAUAUCAAAAACAAAGAAAAUCCUUAGGAUGAAAAAAAAAUUGUUUUUCAGCAAAUGGUCAUCCAACAACUAAAGUAAUCAAAACAAUUGCAUAUGUUGUCCAUGUAAAUAAAUUAUAUUAGAUUCCAUUAUGGUUUGCCGAACCAGUCCAAACCAAACGGUCAGAGCAUGCUGAACCAUACCGACGGCUAAUCGGUACAAUUUGGGCGUCCGAUUUGGAACGCCAGGGUGAGGGAGAAGGAAAGAGGGGGAGAGAGAGAAAGAGGAGGGGAGGGAAAGAGAGGGAAAGGCUAGAGAUGGCCGGUGGUCGUCCGGCGAGGCCUCUGGGGCUCUAUCGUCCUUCGCGAAAUGCAAAAAAAAAGAUAGCGGCCAUCCGACGGCCCUAUGAUAGCCUCCCCAUUGCUUUCCUCUCCUUCCUUUUCCCUUCCUUCUCCCCUCUCUCUAUCUCUCUGCGCUCUCAUUUUCUCUCACGAAAGACCAUGGAGCCUAGAAGGCCUCAGCAGUCCUCCGGUGGCCACCGCCAGCCUCCCUUUCUCUCCCUCCCUUCUCUCUCUUUCUCUCUCUUUUUCUCUUCUAUUCAUCCCUCAUUUCCGUGUUGGUUCGGAUCCGAUGUAGUCCGGUACAGAGAUGUACCAACUCGUACCGUCAACCGCAUAGGGUCCGGUUCUAUGUCAGCAAUCCUUGGAUUCCACACUACCCAAUUGCUAUCUUCUGCAUAAUUCCCAUUCAAACACCAAACAUUAAGGAGACACAAGUUAGUUGCCAUGUUGCCAUAUCUGUAUUCUUUAACAGAGAAUUAAUUGCUCAGUUACCUCCCCUGGCUCUUUGCUCUUGCCAUUCUCCUCCUCUCCAUAUAAGGCUAGUAUAAGUAUGGUCCUGUUAACUUUGGUGAGCCAAGAUAUCAUUAUCAUCGAGGUUCAAACUUUCAUCCAAGGGUGAAGCAUAAAGCUCUGGUGUCAAGGCUACUUCAACCAGGAGAUCAACACAACUAGUGGAUCACCAUUCUCAUUAUCCAUCCAUCAUAACUCAUCAACAUUGCAAUCCUUAAAAGUAUGCUACAUCGAGUUAUUCAAGAUUUACCUUUAUACGUUAAUUGCAAUAAGCACUGAGGUCGUUAGCUGCCUUUCUUUUCAUUAUCCUAUUAUGACUAUUUGCCAUUAUAUCUUGCUGCCAAGGAUCAAAGAUCGACUGAAACUGGUCCAUUUUGGCUUGAAUAGAUACAAAACUACGAGAGAUUUUUAGUUUUGGUCAUUUUCUUUGGUCCAAUUUUAAUCGAUUUGGCUAGUUUUGGCUGAGUUUGAUAGAAUAUGCUUUUUUCAUUAUAUUUUUUUUAGUAAUAUUUGUAGUCAUUUAUGCAUUUGGUUAAGUUUGUAUCAUUUAAGGUCAUUGCUCCAUUUCUUAAGGAAAUUUGAGUAAAUAGUGCUUAUUUGUGUCAUUUUUCAUUUCUUGAGUUAUAAGUAAAAAAAAUAAUUAUAUAUGAUUAAUCUAACCUAUGAGAAGUAAGAGGUCCCUUUUUUACCUUAAUCAUAUGGUUCUGAUCUUCUUUUUUUUGGGGGGGGGGGAAUUUAAAAGUAUUUGGGUGUCUAGCUCUAAGAAAUUUAAAAAAAAUGUAGCUUUUCUUGGAUGUAAAAGUGUCUUUAGGUUUUUAAGAUAAAUUUUGUAGGAAAAUAGAAGAAAAGAGUAUAUGUAAAAGACUAAAACUUGGAAUUGGUAGAGCUUAACCAAAAUCCUUAGGUUGCAUUUGGUAGCUGACAAUCUAUCCAUAUUGCAAGCAAUUUAAUAUGGUAAUUUCGAUUACUGCGUUUGUUAUGCUUUUCGGAUGGUAAUCUAGAUUAUUUUGGCAAUCCAGAUUGCCUCAUGGGAGGUAAUCUGGAUUGCCUUGGAAAGGGGUGGCUAUCCAGAUUACUACUUCUUUGGCAAUGUUGCAAUAAAAAUUUUGGACAAAAUUAUCUCUCAAAAAAAAUCACAUAAAAUAUAUUGCCCAACCCUCCCUCCUCCCCCCAUCCCCCUCCCGCCGUCGCGCCUCCGGCCCAUGGCUCUUCCACUCUCUCUUUGUUCUGNNNNNNNNNNNNNNNNNNNNGCGCCUCCGGCCCAUGGCUCUUCCAUCUCUCUUUGUCUGCCCACAGCUCCUCCGUCUUUAUCCCCACCCCCCCCCCUCGUGGCUCCUCCACGCACAUCCCCACCACCCCAUGGCUCCACACGCGCCCACCCCCUCCAGUGCCCACGAUUCUCCACACCUCUCGGCCCGUCACUUCUCCGUACCACCACCACACCUACAUCACUCCCGUUACUUCUCAUCAGGAAAAAAGAAGAGCAGUAGGGCAAGAUUAUUGGGGAUAUUUUAAGAAUUUGAUUUCACAUUAUCGAUAAUCUAAUUGUCGUACCAAACAUGUCAAUCAAGAUUUUCAGUAAUUUUAUUGCAACAUUACCUGUAUGUACUAAACACAAUAAUCAAUAUUACUGACAAUUUAAUGGUGGCAAUCUAUCCUGAAGGCAAUCCACAUUACCUUCCAAGAUUGCCUGACAAUGCAUCAAACGCAACCUUAGGACAUUUGGAUGAGAUACAUUUAACCAUAGUCUUUGUUAAGUUAUAUGUGAACAUGUCGUACUAAUUACUAAAUAUGAUGGUAAAUAUUAUAUCAGUUUCAUAUGUAUGUUGAGUUCUAUGUGGUAUGUUUUACUGUUUAGCUGUAUAUUUACACUAUUAGUCAUGUUCAGGAAUUAGGUUGCUGUCAAACUGACAACAAUAGUUCUUGAACAUUUCACUGAUUUUCGAAUGUGUUUAUUAUUGUUCAGACUCCUAGACUCACAGCCUAAGAACACAGAUCACAAAUUUGAUGACUACAAGUGAUAAAAUAUGCUUCAAAACCAUAUAAUAUAUGUUCUCUUAGCUUAUUUUAUUUUUUCCUGUUUGGCUUGGAACUUCAGCCAAACAUGUUGAGACAAACAAAACUGCAGAAUCUGAAACUUAGCAAGCUUGCCAAAACUGAUACCUAGCUUUCAAAUCUUGCUCUUUGCAAUAUUCAGAUUGUUUAUUGUAGAAUAUAAGGCUCUUCACGGCUGAUAUAAAGGACAUCAAACCAUCUAAAGUAAUUGUGAUUCUUUUGUGACCCAAAAUAUGCAGGUUUCUAUCUAAACUUUGUGGAUUUGAUGAGAGAGUUUGGUUCGCUAUUAUGUAUUCUACAAAGAGGGAUCUGAAUAUUGCAUAAAGAGAGAGAAAAGCAGGACGUUUUAGAGCAAUAUUUUUAUAUUACUAUUGGGCAUAUGUGAUGCAUAUGAGAAAUAGGGAUGGGUUUGAAAUUUCAAGUGAUUAUAGAUUUUUUUUUUUAAUCAUCGAUUUGACUUGACAAAUACACUGCCAUGUUUGGACAGUGAACUUGUUUAUUUCUCUAGUCUAGAGAGAGUAAAAGGUUAAUCAAGGGGAUGUAUUGAUUAAAAAUGAGAAUAGUCAGCAGGAGACGGGAGAUGUGAGAGGAAGAGAUUUGAAAAAGGCGAGCGGCCAGCUGUGGUCCCUAAAUUGUGAGCAACACAUGAAAGGUUUCACAUCUCACCUUGCAUGGCCGAAGCCUAGGGGCUUGUUCAAUGUAUACAAUAAGAUAAAUGAAUAUCUAUUUCGUAGCAUAUGCUUUCUUCUACCUGUUCCACAUCAUUACUUACAGGCUGGGCUCAGUGAUUUUUGGCAUUAAGAAUAGCAUGCCGUAACCUUGGUACACAGAUGACCUGAAUAUCUACUUCCUUUAUGUCAUUGCUUGGGAGAUCUUGCAUUGUGGCGGAUGUUGACAUCUAUGGACAAUUUUCUUUCCUUUUUGUAAUUUGAAGAGGUAGCCACCUUGAUGAGUGGUGGAAUCAGAAUAGUCAUCACCUUGGCUCAGGAAGAAUAUCUGCUUGCUAGUCCAACAAUAACCCGGUUGAAAUAAGCAUAUUAGAUGAAGGAUUCAAGAUACCACACUAGUGGGAAUGUCAUGGUGAUGGUUUAUGAUGGAAGGACAGUGGGACUGAUGGACCACUAGUCAUGGUUAGAUUUGUGGCCUAAGUAGCAUCAGCACUAAAGUUUAUGCCUAUGCUUUGGAUGAAUUUUUGAACCAUGAUGAUGCAGUAUCAUGGCUUGCCUGGGAUGAAUGGCCCAUACUCUUAUCAACCCUGUAUGGAGUGGGGAUGGAGAGGGCAAGAAGGUGAUUGAGGUAAGUAGAAACUUGGUAUUUCUCUCUUGUAAUUGUUUGGAUUAUUUUUUUAGUUUUGCAGACAACUUGGUGUAUGGAGCUCCUGAUUGUUUUUGUUUGUCUUUUUAACUUUUAUAAGGAAAAUUGGCAGUUAGUUGAUUGGGAAUCUAGCAUUGGUCUUCGUUGUCCUUCUUUCUUGGUUCUCUUUGUUCUCCUCCUUUUUCAGUACUCUUGUUAGUAUUUAUGCGGUGUAGCGAAAGUGUAGCAUGAGGUCUGGUUUGGGUCAGUUUAUAUAGGCAGAGCAAUGUAGCUGGGUUGGUUGCUUGGGCCGUUAUGCAGAUCAUUGGCCGGACAGAUGAUGUUUACCAACAUAGGGCUUAUUUGGUUGCAUGUAAUUGAACUUAGUGUAAUAUAGACUUGAGCAUUGGUCAAACCAGGAUGGCUUUACCUCUGACUGCCUUUGGCCUGAGCACUGUUCACCCAUCAAAACCUACAUCAUGGAUGAACCUGUUUCAACCGAGCAGACAUAGGAUUCAGGCAUCUGAAUAUCCCCCCUUAUGAAAAAAGUGAUGUGCUGUACCGAGCAGGCGUUGAACUCUGAUAUUGGUUGAUAUCAGAAAAUUGGAUAUUAUGUUGAGUAGCUGUUUCUUUUCUUAGGGUCUCCAUUGGGAGUCUUUUUCUUGAUUGUCGGAAUGAUCUUGUUUGUUUUGUUCAUUUGUGGAGGUAAGGUUUUAUGUCCCUCUCUUAUGGGCUGUUUGGUUCUGAUCUUUGUACCAUGAAUAAUUGGUUAAAAGAUGAGGUCUGAUUGUUGAAAACAGGCAAAGAAGAGAUAUUCCAAAAUUAUAAGCAUUCUAGAUUUUGAGGGGCUCACCACUCUUUUACUAACAGGAACUCUAAUUAAAAUAUUAGUUAUCCCACGAUUCACACCAACAAGUAGUUCAUGCACCUUUAUUGGUCCUUUAUGUAUCUUUUCUUUUUAUCUGAAUAUUUAGUACACAUAUAACUAGAAAUGUCAGCCUCUGUUUUCUUCCAUUGAAUCUUGAACGUUGAUGCAUGCCAUGAUGAUAUUGAGUAUGCAUAAGGUAUUUCAUCGCUCACAUUGGUAAUGUAACAUUGCGUUCUUAGUUCUAGAUGUUAUACAAUCUAUUCUUUUCCUUUCAUCAGUUUUCUUUUAUGCAUAGAUUUUUAGAUACCAUAGCAUCUCUCAGAUUUUCUCAGAAAAUUAAAGAUUAUGGAGAUUGAAAAUCCUUAUAAUAUUUGGAAAACUUGGUGAAAAGAACCCAAGGAUGAGAUGUUUAUUAUGGUGAAUUCUCAUGCUUCUGCCAUUGUUUCAUUUCAAACUAUAGUUUCUAUGUUACAUUCAUUGUCUGAGAAAUUCAAGAGUGCAUCCCUUUACUUGAGCUAAAAGGAAAAAGCCUUCAUUGCAGGCAGAUUCAGAUGAUGAAAUCCUCACAGAGGGUGAUGCAAAUGAUGGCGUUGCUGAUACAGAAGAAAAAGUUGCUUCUGCUGUCAUGGUAUCACUGCAAUCAUAUAAAGAAGCUUUGGCUAAUAAUGAUCAAUCAAAAAUUGCCGAGAUAGAGGCCUUUCUUCAGUCCAUUGAGGCAGAGAAGAAUUCUCUUGCAACCAAAGUUGCUACUUUGUCUGUAGAGUUGUCCAUGGAACGGGACCGCAUUCUUAGGAUCAGUGCGGACUUUGACAACUUCAGGAAAAGGACAGAGAGAGAAAGGCUCUCUCUGAUGACAAAUGCACAAGGAGAAGUUAUAGAGAGCUUAUUGCCUGUUUUAGACAACUUUGAAAGAGCUAAAACUCAGAUAAAGGUGGAGACUGAGGGAGAGGAGAAAAUAAACAACAGUUAUCAGAGCAUCUAUAAACAGUUUCUGGAGAUUUUGAACUCAUUGGGGGUUGAAACGGUGGAAACUGUUGGCAAUCCAUUUGAUCCUUUGGUGAGUUGUCUUUGUUUGUAAUGUUCACUUAUUCUACCUUUGUAUCUGCUGCAUGCUUUAAAGCUUUAGAAGUUUCAUUUCCUGCCUAAUCCAUGAAUACACCUGUAUGCUGUCCAAACUGGUAGUUUUUGUUAAACCAGCAAGCUCUAUUACAUGCAUAUGGUGCAAGAACUUAUUGUUAAAAAUACGAAAUCUUGAGGUUUAUGAACAUUUUGACUCUCUCAACCAGACUUGCCAAAUUGGUGUUUGAUGCGACAUUUGGAAUAACCACUCAGUUGCCAGUGUUGGAGGCACAUGUUACAUGCCAAAAAGCCUAAUUGCAGCAGAAUGAUGCAAACGGCUAAUUUUACUUGUGCCCCUGACCGAACAAAUGUAUAUAACUUUUUUGUUUACAUUGAAAGGAAAAGAAUUGUCUUCAAAAGAUUUUUCCAAGGGAAAGAAUUGUCUUCAAAAGAUUUUUUUCCUCUCUUUUUUUUAAAAAAUUGUGUAAAAUUUGAAAUACACACACCCGCACACAUCUAUAUACAAUCUCUACAUUUCUCAUUCACAUAUGUUGUUGCUCAAACAAACUUCUAUUUUGUCGUAAAAGCUUCAUGAGGCUAUAAUGCGUGAGGAGUCAAUGGAGUUUGAAGAAGGCAUUAUAAUUCAAGAAUUUCGUAAGGGAUUCAAAAUCGGCGAAAGACUAUUGCGUCCGUCAAUGGUGAAGGUAUCGGCAGGACCAGGCCCUGCAAAGCCUGAAGGUGGAGGCUCAACAGCAGAUGAACACGGUGGAGAAGCAAGUGAAGAAAGCACAAAGGAAGGUGGAGAUUCUGAUUAAUUUGUACUAUCGAUAUCUUUAGUUCUUGAACCAAUUUUGUCAGAGUUCUUGUGUGUUCCGAAGAUCUGAAGCUAUUAGCAUACAGCUGCAAUGUACUUGCAGUUCUCAGUAUUGCAGCUACUGUUCUUGAGAGGGAGCCCCGUAGAGUCAUUGUUUAAGGCAAUGUGAGAUUUGGAUGUAGUGUUUAAAGUCAUGUUGCUGAACAAGAAUAGAUUGGUACGAGGUCUCGCAUCCUGACAUGUUUACAGAAAGUUGUGUUAUUUUGGCUGUGGUCACCCUUGUUUUCUUUUACACCUAAGACUUUGAGACGGAGAUGAAAUUCUUCGGUAAUCUGGCCCAUGGAAAUUCAGUAAACUGGCCCAUUAUCCUAUUGCUCUGUCGGCCUAUUUGUGUCAAUACUAUCAAUAUUUGGAAGUUCUGGAAAUCCGAUUUCAAUGGUUACCUAGGAUUUAAUAUUUGCAUUCUUCAUUAUGACGCUGUAGCAUGAGGUCCUAUACACAAUGCAUUUGUAUUCAGAUCUAAUGUUAACAUUCUUUAAUAUUGGUGUUAUUUCUGCUUCUAUCAUAUUUGAAUUAGUCCAAGCACUUGGAGUUCCAAGAGUAGUUUUAUUCAGAACAUGCGUGAAACAGAAAUUCCUCUUCUUUAUUAUGAACGUAUAUUCAAGGGUGUACAAGUAAAGAUUGCUUCAAUUGUAUUUGAGCUAAUCUCAGCAUUUGGUAUGUCUAGAUUCGUUAAAUCUAGAUAUCGAUAUUCUUCCAUAUGACCUCUACAAAAGGGUUAACUCUCUUACGAAUAUAUGUUGCGGUAUUAUGCGUAAGAUUGCUCGAUCAUGUUGUUAUACAAGUACCAUUCACUUGGAAUUAUGAGACCACGUCAAUCUUAUAUAAAGUCCAACAGUUUUAUUAUUUCCAGGUGUGAUACGAUUCAUAUGAGUCUUUUUGGUUGUCGCACUCCUUUGGCAUAUCCCGGAAGCAAAGUUUUUCAGUGUAGAUGUCGAAGAUUGAAGUACAUAAAUAAGGCUGGGUAUUAUGCCGACUUCCUGGAGAACAGUUCUUCGCCGACUUCUGGUGAAAAAGAUGUCGCAUAGACGCUCAGGAUUAAGAGGUCGCGUAAGGUCUUUGUAACGGUAACGGCUACAAGGCCCAUGGGAGUCGCAGUGCUACCGAUGGUUGUCCUAUAUUACCCAUUCGCUCGGUUCUCCCUCCGGCGUCUCCUGAUACGAGGGCGGUUCUUGGCAUUUGAGGAGGUUUCUUUGUUACCCUAGCACCUCUCCUCUCUUCUUCUUCACAUGCUUCUUGUCUUAUUCCCAUGCCACAUUAUCUUAUUCUUGAACGAAACGCAGACUUUUUGUAGCUUAAAAGUGUUCGUGAAAUCAACUCGUCUCGUAUCUCCUCUCCUCUGCUUUUCUUCUCUUCUUGAACGAUGGGCGAUGCUGUCCCGUGGUCAACCAGUAUGCAGCCAUUGUUGGAUGGAGAGGUCACCGAGGGGGAAGGGGAGGGGACUCUUUCGAUUCCGGUCUCAUCCAUUCAACAAUCCCAUGGAGACUCCGAGCCGUCGGUCUUUUUCUUUUCUUCUUCUUCGUAGCUUCGUUUUCUCUUUCUUUUCUUCUUUUUUGCUUUUCUUCUUCAUUUUUUGUGUGGCAGCAUUUUAAGGUUUAUAGGAAGAGGCUGUGAUGAUUCCUUGACGAGGGUUUUGCUACGUUGCGACGGCUAUUUCUAACGCAAGGCAAUCUUGGAUGGUCUGCUGCUGUUCUGCGGGCAACUGGAUGCAGCCGCUGAGGCUUAUUGUUCCGAGACUUGAAGAUUAACAAUACAAUGCUGGAUGAAGUGGUGAAUCUGAGCCUCUUUCUUCCCUACUUCUCUUGUAUUUAUUUUCCCCCUUCAGCAAGUUCAUUUUUUCAAGUUUUCUUUGAUUUCACCAUAAUUAAUUUCUUCAGAUAGUUUUUUUCUUUGGCUCCGCAAGAAUUCAUACAAUUUGGAGACCAUCGAAAGAUUGGGGGUGGGGAUAUUGCAUUGAUAGUAGUCAUUGUUUUGAAAACCCAAAUUCUCAAAUCUUCUAUUUUGGUUGUUCAAGAUUGGGGAUUUUAUGCGGGGGGUUAUGGUCUAUUACAUUUUUAAGGGUUUUGAAUCUACUCCCUUCUAGCCAAAGAUUCUAAAUUUCAUUGCUCAUCUUUUCUGCUUCUAUUUUACUUCAGUAGCAGAGACUUUCUUAUUGCAUAGAUUUGUUUUUCCUCUCCUGCUGGCUAUUCUCUUCUUUCUAUGAGGAAUGAUAUUAUGCAAGACAACUUGAAAAGUCUCCAACGCUAUUCUCCAAACCAAAUUGUAUGUUGCUGUACCAUCCUGGUUCCAUCAGUGGGUUUCCCUACCACUGCUCUUCUAAUAUCACUAGCUGAGGAGAUAACCAGGAUUUAUGACAACUUUAAGGGUGCGUUUGGUUUGCGACCAGAAUUGAAAUGGAUUGGAAUGCGAAUUGGAAUGGCUAUAACCCCCAAUGUGUUUGGUUCAUGACCGAAAUGGAAAUUAGAAUGGGGUUUGAAUACUAGGGAAGAGUAGGGAUUGGGUUUUGGGGGAUUGCGACGUUCCCAUUCCUUCAUGAUCAAAAUGAGAAUGCGAUUCUCUCUAAGCAAAUGGUUGGAACGAGAGUCACUCAUUCUUAUUCCAGAGUCCAAUUCCCACAACCAAACAUGCCCCAAGUUGCUUCAUUUUUAGACCCUCAUUUAUGCAAGAGUUGCAUGAGCAUGUAACUUUCGCUGAAGCUUGUAUUAAAUAAGGUUAUCCACACUAACUUUCCCUAGAUAAGUUUAUUCUGCUGCUUUAUCUGCUUUUGUUUGUCUUAGUUGUCCUGCUUAUCUCAGGUAGUGGUAAUAUAUUUUGCUAUAUGUUUUUAUGCUUUGACAUCUGGAUCAUAUUUCACAUAGCUAUGGUGUACAAGCACUUCUUGAAGAAUUUCUAUACAGCUUCUUCAGAUUGUGAUAUGAACUCUAUCCAUUACAAUCAUCCACAAAAUUCUUUGCUCUCAAAAAUGUCAGUAUUGCUUGUCUUACUGGACAGACUUGUGUGAGUAGUUACUCACUAUAUGUUCUUAUAUUCAUUUCAAGAGUAACUGUAUUUACAAAUAUGUAUCUAAUAUAAAAUUGGAUAUUGUCGUUUUGAGAAGAUCAAGGUAAAUGGAAAACAUAGUGCUAUAAAUAUGUAAAUUCCCAUCAAUCUACAAAAACAUAAUUUUUUAUCCUUUGGGGAAAAGUGGAAAUAAAAUUAAAUAUUAUAUUAUUUGCAAUUUCGAAAGUCAGUGUUUACAAACUACUGUUGCAGCAAAUCGGGGACUGGACAAGAUUUCUGGUAGGCAAGAAAAAUAAGCCUUUCCACUGGUUGAACUCUGCAUUAUUUCUUCUUCUAAUUUUGGAUGGCAUGGUUCAUUACUAAUUUAACUCCAUCUCCUCACCAUUCCUGUCUUUGCUAGCAUUGCUGGGGCGACUUUCAUGAUCUGUGAUCUGGCAGGCAAUUGAUUACUGCCAUUGCUGAUGAGGGUUUCUGGUCUUUCAGAUGCAUGGAUGGGAUUUGUUAGAUGCAAGAUUCAUCCGGGCCUCAGAAUCCUGUUUUGCAGCUCUUUCCCUAAUCCAUAUUCAUUAGACAUGCAUAGUACUAUUAUAUGUGGAAACUAAGGUGCUGAUCAGUGCAUUAAAUUUGGCAUAAAAAAUAUUAAAAUAUUAGAUAUUUAAUUUUUAUUAUUUUAUAUUUGAUACUUGUUAUGCUCUUUUUCAGAAAUUAUUAGUCGUGGAGAUUUUUAUCAUAUUAAGCCCAAUUAAGCUCAAAUUCAAGCUCAAAUUCGUCACAUUCAUGGCAAGAAAUGUUGGGAAUAAAGAACAAGCCAAGAAGAACAAAAAAUCAGCCAAAAUCACCUAAAAAUGACCUUCGAUGCAUGGUGAACCAGCUGCUUGGUCCACGAGCGGUCCAUAAAAUAGGCGUUGGUCUACAGUCGCCGUCCACAAGGAUGAUGGCUGGCUUUUGCACUAAUCGACGGUUGAGAUCGUGCUAAACACGCGAUCGGACGGCCACUAGCUCUCUAACCCAUAUCCAGCAAUGGUGGCCCACUUUCAGUGCGCGAUCCAAUGGCUGGCAGCGAUUUUCAAGGGCGAUCCAAUGGCUGUGGUUAUUUUCGAUUGGCAGAACUUAAACAGAAGGAUUUUUGAGCACCAUCCGACGGUCCACAACCAUCCACAGAUGCGAUCCGACGGCUGAUGUCGAUUCUGACCUGAUUAAGGCCUGAUGUGGUGAUUUUUUGGGCUGAUCUAGAACGUUGAUGCGAGAUCUGAUGGCCAAGAAGCUGUGACGUGGGUUGGACAUGACUUCGACAUUAUUUGGGACUCCAUUUUCCACCAAAAUUUGGAAAAAAUCCAUCUAUAAAAGGGGAUCAAUUUGCUGGUAGUUAGGGUAUAUAUGUCAGAAUUCCCUAGUUUGAAUUAUGUUACAAAGGUCAAGUUUUAUUUUUAUAUUCAAAUCUAUGCCUAUGCAGUGCCUUUUUUUCGAUAUGGUUAAUAUUUCCCUGUUUGGAGAGUAGUGCAUGGGGAUUACCAUCCAGCUACUCAUCUUUGAGUAGUACGAUUACCCUUUGUGGCUCAAUAAUUUUGCGUGGAUGAGAGUGUGAUCUCAUGCUUUUGUUUUUGGUUAAUGUUGAACCAAUUUUAUCUUGCAAUGGAGUUUAUGCAACUCUCAACAUAUUGUUUCCAUUGCAGUUUCACUCAGUAUCAAAAUCUUGUGACUGGAGAUAUGACUAUGAUACCAAGCACUUAGAAGUGUAAAAAUAUCGCUUCCACUGUUUGUGGCUCAACAUUGUUUGCACUGCAGAAAGUAAUCUUUUCCCAUUCUUAUUUCAUCUUACAAAUAUAAUAGAACUUUACAUUAGUAAUGCAAGCGGGCACCUUACACUUUACAACUCAAUGUUUUAGCAGGUACCUUCUGGCUACCCAUUGCUAAGUGGUGCAUUUACCCUUUAUGGGUCAAUGUAUUAGAAUGGAUAAGCGUGUGACCUUAUGCUUUUGUUUUCUCUAAUGUUGGACCAAUUUUAGCCUGUGAUGACAUUUAUGCAACUCUCAAGAUAUUGUCUCCACUCUGAUGGCACUUAUCGUCACAAUCUCAUUAUCAGAUAAGUGCAAGUUGUAGAAAAGUAAUCUUGUCCCAUUCGUAUUUCGUCUUACCAAUAUCAUAGAAAUUAACAUGGCUUAACUAUAACAUAUUAAAUUCGAAUUGGUAUUUUUGUCAAGUAAUGGUCUCUGGAUAUCGAUAAUCUCUCUGCACUGAGAUUGCUGAGAGUGUAAUGGCAUGAGGACCUGCAGUAAGUUUUCUCCUGUCAGUAAUUUUUUUAAUCACUUUACUCAUCUUAAUUUAAAGAAUGUGAUGUGUGUGAAUAGAGUGAAGCUCUUGCAUGGACAGAGAUAAGUAGUCUCUACAUCAAGUUUAGUGUUAUGUGACUGUAGGUUAAGUAUUUAUACUGCAUCUUUAUACAUUUUUUGUUACCACACCUGAAGGGAGGCAAGGUUAUGUCUAAUAUUUGAAAAAAUUGAACUUAUGCAUAAGUGCUUCUUGGUUAUUGCACCUGUAAAUGUUGCUGUUUUGAUUGACCUUAUGAAAAUAAUAACAGGGUUAGAGAAUCUUGACCCAGAGUUCAUAUAGGUUUGAGACAAUGGACAGUUAGUAUAAUGAAUUGAAAAAUGUGAUGAAGAACCCACUUAUUCGGCUUGAUUCAUGGAUGGGUGCAUUGCUCCAUUAUUUCAGUCAUACCAAAGUUAAAAGUUUUCAAGAGCAUGCACCAAAAAUGAAUUAGAUGCUUGGAGCAUUGUUUCAUACAUUGACAUAAAUUGGUGAUGACAGAAAAUGCAGGAAAUGUGGAUGAAUAAUUAAUAUCAGCAUAUAUUUUUUUCUAAGGUUGUUCUACUAGGAUAUAAGCCUGCAAAUUAGUUACAAUAAUUCUAGCAUAAAAUUCAAACUAAUUUGGAUCAGAUGCUCUUAUUGUGGACUUGUUUUAUGUAUCAUUGGUAGUGGUUAGACUAAUACUGUUGUGGUCUAGAUAAUAAAGGAUUAAAGAAAAGAAGACUUAAUAUUUUUCUGAAGAAGGGUGUUUUCUCAUACCAUAAUUUUGUAUUUAAUCUAUGCCAUCUACUUCAAGCAUUCAAAUCCUCUCCCUCUCUCCGAUGUGGUGUUUAUUCGCCAUUACGCAGGUUUGAACCUGAGUCCUCUCACUUGGAGAAAUGGGUACCAAGCAGCUGAGAUACUGGCUAUUGAUGAAUCUGCUCUCCUAUCACACUUCCUUGUACAAUUCUCAGAUAUAGAUGGCUACUAAUACUUAAGAUACCUAGUUGUUUAUUGUUGGGGAAUACCGAUCGACCCCGCUCAUGCCGAUUUAUAAUCGGGCAUACCCGACCGACCGACCGACCGAUCGUCGGAUGCCACUACCGACCGAUCGACGGCUCUCUACCGACCGAGGAUAUGUUGGUCGGGCAGACCUUUUCCGCCCUCCCGACCGACUGCACCAGGGGGUCCGAUGCCCGACUCCCGUGACGUGCCCGACUGACCGUCGGAGGGGUCCGAAUCUACACCCGACGCCCCUCAGCUAGCCACCGACCCAAGGUCGGUCGACUCCUCCAAUCGCCGUACUACUGCCAGAGACUGUCAGUCCUGACAACAGCAUGCGGCACUGCCGCCUAGGGGCAUUGUCCCACCUAAGGCAUGGGUCAACCCUAGCGAUUUGACAGCCCCACGGCGAUGUGACACUUUCACGGUGACUCUGACAGUCUACAGUGAAUUGACAAUUCUUCAAUUGUCCGCGCCAUUAAUGACGGCGCCAUACCACGCUCCACUAUAUAUAUCGGGGAAGGCAACAGUGCUAGAGGUUCCUUCGAAACUCUUGGGCUUGCCCCCUCUCUCUCUUUCCCUCUCUCGUUGAGCUCCUUAUUUUCUUUUCACUGUUGCCUAGUCUCCUCUCUGACUUGACCGUCGGAGGGUCCCCGCCGGAGCCGCCUCCGGUCAGUGCGGACUUUCUUUUGCAGGCGCUCGUUUCCGGCGACCAGGCGACGAGGGGAUUGGCCGCAACAGAUUGGACGGGCGACGAAGGACGAUCGGCCGGCGAAGGAUCGACCGACUUCCCACUCCCUGAAGGUGCGUCGGGCCUGGCCAACCACGACUUGGCCAGGAGACUGUGCCAGGCGCUACUUCUUCCUACUGACAUCGAGGCGAUGAAGAACCAGCGUGUCUCCGACAUGCUGUCUUCAUUCUAUCCGAUGAUGAUCCGGGUGAGUUUCUCUCUUCUUUGCCUUCAAUGUAGUUUCCGUAAGCUCGGUCUCCUGACAGUCGGUUUUGUUUUGUGCAGCUGGUCUUCAACAUAUCCGAGCUAGAGGCCGGAUACCGGAAGUUCGGCGACAUGCGCGCGGCUUGGAGAGACAAGGUCGCGGCCGUUGAAGCCGACAAGGUCAUCCUGGUCGACCAGCUGCAACAGUCGGUCGAACGGGAGGGCCGACUUGAGGGGGAGGUCUCCCGACUUACGGAGGAGGUCUCCCGACUCAAGGGAGCCUUGGCGACGUCGGAGUCGGAGCUGCAGUCGGCCCGGGACGACGUGAAGAAGAAGUCCCGGACCGUCCGUCGGCUUCGACACGAGCGGGACAGCUUCGCCAAGGAGUUUGAGGCCGACCGCGAGCAGCUCUGAGUAAGUCUCGAAAAUCUUGCUAAGGUCAAAGAAGGUUUGUCCAUCGCCCAGGCCGACGCAGACAUCGCGAAGGCCGAAGCAGAGUCGGCGAAGGAGGCCAUGGGUCGGGCCGUCGAAGACUUCCGUGACUCAGAAGAGUACCGAGAAGAGCUUCUGGAGAGCGGCUUCCUUUCGUACCAGAUCGGGUACGAGGAUGCUCGGGAAGCCGUUCGAAGCCUGUACCCAGAGCUUGAUCUUAGCAGCAUAGUUCUGCCAGAAUCGGAGGGUGGAGGGGAGGCUUGAGCCCGACCGAGUCUCGACCGACGGCGUGGCAGCAGCGGGCGCUGGUCGCUCGGGUUCGUGAGCCUCCUCCCGAUCCUCCUCUGCUNNNNNNNNNNNNNNNNNNNNCCGGCCCUUUGCGCCGGCCUCUUUCGGACGGCGUACUGACGUACGUCGGCUGCCGUCAGUCGUGAUCUCGGCGGCAUAUCUGCAAACAACUACAGACGGUCAGUACCGUAAAGAAAAACAAAAAGAAGAAAAAGGAGAAGAAAAAUGAAAAACCGUCCUAAGCGAGGGACCGGGCUGAGGUCGGUGACGUACAGGGCCUGCUCGGUGACGAGCUUCCUCUGCUUCGGCAUUGAGAUAUCUUUUAGCCGGUGGAAGUCUUCCCGAUCUUCGGCUUCCACCCGACUGUUCUCAUCGGUUCGGUUCGGGGAUUCCCCCAACGGAUAGGGAACCCCCAAGGAGUGGAAGACGAUACAAAGAAGAACUGGUUCUUCCAUCCGUGAAUGGACGACGGAAGACCAGUGAUGAAGGAAAGCUCCUUCCGAGGAUUGAAGUACCACCACCCUCGGGCUUUAGGAUGGGGUCGGAGGACGAAGAAGGCUCGGAAGAGGGAGAUCCGAGGGUCAGUCGGCAAAAACCGACACAGAAGAGCCAAGCUGACUAUUAGCCGAACUGAGUUCGGCGCGAGUUGUGCCGGGCACAGCCCGUAAUAGUCGAGAAUAUUUCGGACAAACUCCGGGACCGGAAAAUGAAGGCCGACCCGGAGGUCCUCCACGUAAAAGGCCACCUGGCCCUCAAGCGGGCUGUUAACCCGACCGUUGGCACCAGGGGCGAACAGCCGAAACUGCCCCGGGAUGCGAUAUUGCUCCCGGAGCCGAUCGACGUUCGGCCCCGAAAGUGAAGAGACCUCCACCUCCAGGGUCGACCGAGUGUCGUCAGUCGGCUCUCCCGAUCGACCACCUCGUGGAGACGUUCUGGCCAUGGACUGAGAAAAAUAGCAGGAAAUGAAGGAGGAGGAGAUGGUAAAGGUGAUGAUGACCCUCAGAAGAAGAAGACGGAACUCCUAAGAAGAAAGGAAGCGGAGAAGAGUACCUGGAAUGAGGGAUUACGCGGGCAGAGUCUCGACAGCAAAGUAAUGGGGGGGUAAAAACUGAAUAGGGACGACCCUGUAUAUAUAGUACCCCCCGACGAUCGAGAUGAAGGCACGACCAACGAGGAGUCCCCAGAUCUCGCCAUGUGGCGUCAUCCGGGCCGUCCGUCGGCCCGACGGUUCGACGCACCUAUCCUCAGAUCGAGCCACGUCACCUCCAUCCGCUCCAACGAACCCGUCCCAAUGGCCGCACGCCACGUGGCGCGAAGGCCGCAACGUUUCGUAUCCCUGAAGGGGCGGCGGGAACGAUGGUUUCCCUUCCCGAUAGGACGAGACGUCUGACACCGACAGGACGUCUGACACCGGCAGGACAUCCGACACCGGCAGGACGUCCGACACCGACAUGACACCUGGCGCCGACAGGACAUCUAACGCCGACGGGAUGGGACAUCUGACACCGACUGGACAUCUGACGCCAGCGAAUCGCUCGGCAUUCAUGAGAUGCCUGACAUCAUAUCAACCCGCGGUACGGUCGGAACUUGACACACAGUGGAUCCACUCCUUUUCGCCCGGCGUUACUGCCCAAACGAAGACAUCGGCCAGCGCGUCGUCCGACUCAGGAGUGGAGGGGGGCAACUGUUGGGGAAUACCGACCGACCCCGCUCAUGCCGACUUAUAAUCGGGCAUACCCGACCGACCGACUUACCGACCGACCGAUCGUCGGGUGCCACUACCGACCGAUCGACGGCUCUCUACCGACCGAGGAUAUGUCGGUCGGGCAGACCUUUUUCGCCCUCCCGACCGACUGCACCAGGGGGUCCGAUGCCCGACUCCCGUGACGUGCCCGACUGACCGUCGGAGGGGUCCGAAUCUCCACCCGACGCCCCUCAGCUGGCCACCGACCCAAGGUCGGUCGACUCCUCCAAUCGCCGUACUACUGCCAGAGACUGUCAGUCCUGACAACAGCAUGCGGCACUGCCGCCUAGGAGCAUUGUCCCACCUAAGGCGUGGGUCAACCCUAGCGAUUUGACAGCUCCACGACGAUGUGACACUUUCACGGUGACUCUGAUAGUCUACAGUGAAUUGACAAUUCUUCAAUUGUCCACGCCAUUAAUGACGGCGCCAUACCACGCUCCACUAUAUAUAUCGGGGAAGGCAACAGUGCUAGAGGUCCCUUCGAAACUCUUGGGCUUGCCCCCUCUCUCUCUUUCCCUCUCUCGUUGAGCUCCUUGUUUUCUUUUCACUGUUGCCUAGUCUCUUCUCUGACUUGACCGUCGGAGGGUCCCCGCCGGAGUCGCCUCCGGUCAGUGCGGACUUUCUUUUGCAGGCGCUCGUUCCCGGCGACCAGGCGACGAGGGGAUUGGCCGCAACAUUUAUGUUAUCUCUGAUUUAUAUUUUGUUCUAAUGAGUUUUCAACAUGAGUAGGUACUAAAUAUGGACUUCAGCAGAAUUUUGCAAAAAAAAAAAGAAAAAGAAAAACAGUCAUAUGGAAUUCAUUUAGGAGUGCUUGGUUAUAAUUUGGGAAAUACUAAUAAAUGAUUCUUUGCUCAUAUUUGAUGGCAAACAGAUAUCUGGCAAUUUUGUUUUGUUUAUGUGGCUCUGUUAUGAAAAAACAACAGUAUUUGUGAGGAUAAAUUAGUGCAAGGAAUGUCUCUGAUUUAUAUUUUGUUCUAAUGAGUUUUCAACAUGGCUAGGUUCUAAAUAUGGAUUUCAGCAGAAUUUUGGAAAAAAAAAACAGUCGUAUGGAAUUCAUUUAGAAGGUGCUUGGUUAUAAUUUGGGAAAUACUAAUAAAUGAUUCUUUGCUCAUAUUUGAUGGCAAACAGAUAUCUGGCAAUUUUAUUUUGUUUAUGUGGCUCUAUUAGGAAAAAACAACAGUAUUUGUGAGGAGAUGUUUCAUGUGUGCUUCACGUAAGUGAUGCUAUCUGAAGGCUACUCUGGUGUCUAGCCUAAUGAAUAGGACCAACUAUCUAAUAUCACUUAGCAUAUUGUCCUAUAAUGAAAGCAUACAUCAAGCUUACCAGAGCUGAGGAUAUGUAGGUGGAAAGUAGUAAAAUAUAGGAACAGAAAAGCAUCCAAAUGCUGGCAAGAAUUGUAGGUAUAGAAAAUACAUGGCAUGACUAUCUGAGAUGGUUUGCAGACUGUCCAUAUAAAGGGGUGAGCCAAGAAAAUUUAGAAGUUGUCAACAAUGAAUUUGAGGAACCUUUCAGUGACAGAGCAUGGCUAUGUGUAGAAAUAUAUGUGAAAUUUUAUUUAUAAAGCUUAAAGUUAUGCUUGCCUCCAAAGUAAGCAUGGCUUAAAUUUCAUGAACACCAUGUGAAUCGUCAUUUGAUGCCAUUGGAUAUAUACUAAUCUGAUCUUAUACUCUAUCUUUUUCUGAAUAGCAUAUAGCUUUUUUUGGGUGGGGGGUUUACAUAUGCAAAUGUGUUAGAUAAUAUUGUUGUCAUGCAAGAAAGCUCAGUGGUCCUUGUUUUUAUCAGUUCAUGCACCUAAAUUGGAACUUGUUUUUAUUGGACCGCCUUUUCAAAAUAUUCUCCCCUUUGAUAAGCAUUCCUUUUCUGAAUGAGUGAACAAUGCACGUCUUAUAACUUAGCAGAAGUUUGCAAUGCAUUUUUGGCACAACUUCUCCGACAGGCCAUGUGAUCAUGUUAUUUCGUUAGUCCAUUUUAGGGUCUACAUCACACAUUUAGUUUAUUUAUUUUGAACAAGACCUAUCCACAAUCUUUUCUAUAUUUUGACCUUCUGUUUUGAUUUGGUGAUCCAUCUUUCUUUAUCAAAUACUUUUCUUGAUGCAAUUGGAGGGGAGGAAACGUUCCCCAGAUUUAUUAUUAAAUACUUUAAUGCUGUAAUUUCUGUUAUGAUGAAUUCAUGUAAAUGGGACCUUGUAAAUUCCCAUCUAUCACAAACCUCUCAUAUGUUUUCUCAGUCGUAAACCCCCGUUUUCGGACACUGGCAUGCAAGGAUGCACCACACAAAGGUGUGAUCUGGUAAGUUACUUUUUCUUGCUUGCUUUCUUUCUUUCAAUUAGACCGUGUUCAAAUACCACCUGCCUGCUAAAGUUGAAAGAUCUUAGUAGUUUCUUCCAGGCCAUGAAAGAAAAAACGAGCAAUCUUCUCUGGAGCCUAGGAAGGCCACCAACCCUCUGCAGGUGACUCGAGUAAUGGGAGGUAAAUCAUAUCAUAUUCCCACCACAUUUUUUUCAUGCUAUACCGAUAAAGUGAUCAUUUGCAUGAUGGGUAUAUCUCUAGAAGCUAAAUUGAUGAUGAGCUUGAUUUGGAGACAUCAUUUCUGUCGAUCAUUACGAUAAUAUAUUAUAGUAAUAGAAGUUUACAGAUACUGCUCCUCAAAUACUAUAUUGAUGUUAAUUACCUUAUAAUAAACUUUUUGAGAAGCUCCCCCUUGUAAUAUGCUGGUGAUAUUGUGAUGACAUUGAAUAUCUGGAUUUGUUUAUGUUUUAAAGAUAGUAUUUGUUGAAGCUUGACAUCAAGAGUCAUCAUCCUAACCUAUACCCAGCUAUAUUAUAUAAAAUAAAAAUAUAAAAAUAUAAAAGGUUCGGCUAUACGUCUAAAAACAUGUCGGUCUUGAUUGGCAACUGCAUUAGGUGGGCCUAGUUUGCUCUCUCUAGUCUUUGGUGCGUUCCUGUCUAUAAAGAAAGAAGUAAUUUUUUAUAUAUCAUAUAUGAUGUAAAAAAAAUAUACUAUCUCAUCUGGUUGAAUCAUGUAGUCAUUAUUUUUUAAGUAAUUUAUUUUUUUAUUUAAAAUUUUGAACGAUGAAAAUAUAUAUAUAUUUUUUUUAAAUUAUGAUAUUCUGUGAUCGUAUUAUAACAUCUUAUGGUCAGUCAAUUUAUAAUUUUUUAUUCAUAAUUUGAUCAUAAGAUGUCAUAAAAAAAGAAAAAUAUUUUAAUCAUUUAAAAAUUUUAUAAAUUUUUAAUAAUAAAAAUAUAUUUUUAUAAUUUUAAAAAAAUAUAAUUUUUUAUAUAUAGAAAAUCAUAAUUUGAUAGUAAAAUAUUAUAUAAUCGUAGAACAUCAUAAUAUUUUUAAAAUAAAAAAAUAUUAUUAUUAUUUAAAAUUUUAAAUAAAAAAAAUAAAAUUAUAAAUAUUAAAUAUAUUAUUAAAUAUAUAUUAAAAAUAAUAAUUAUGUGUUGUAAUAUGAUUGGAUGGUGUACCGCGUGUAAUGCACAAAGCUUUCUCUUAAUAAAGAUUGGGUGGGCCUAGUUACUGUCGUUAUCUGCUCCUGCCUUUAAUGCUUUCCUGCCAACGAAGAAUGACUAACUAGGAGACGAGAUGCAAAGUUGAUAAAGGAGCAGCCGGAAUCACGCGGCGGCUUCGUAUGCCGCAGGUCAACAAAGACGGGGGACAUCGAAUUCCGUGUCGGCCAGGCUUCCCCCGAUAGAAGCUUCGGAACUGACCGCCUAACCCAGUCCGCAAAGAUUGCUUUGGAUCUAAGAUAGGUGCUGCCUUGCUCUAACCCACUUUUAGCUCACUCGAUGGAUACAUAUGCAUCACUUUAUUCUGAAAUUUCUAUGGAAGCUGGUCACGUCAAACCAGGAAAGAGACAGGAAGGCAGCAUAUGAAAGUAUGAAACCCAAAAACUGCAUUAUAUAAGAAGAGGGGUUUGGUGGGAUCUCAGCAUCAGGAGAAAGAGAUGGCAGAUUUGGUCGAGGCUUCCCAAUUCCUUCAUGGCGUUCUCGAUUUGACAAUCUUCGAAGCUGAUCACCUCCACCAUUGUUUCCAUGGUUUCCUCCUUCAGGUACUACAAUCUGCCACUUCUUCUUCUGUCAUAUUUCCUCUUUCUUUUUCUCUUUUUUUGGAUAUAAUGGAGUCUGGACCAUGGAGGAAGCCAGUCAGGUUGAAUUCUUUCUUAAUAUUUCAUUAACCAAGGCUGCAAGAGACUGGACUGCCCCCUGAAAGAUCUGUGGGUUUGUUCUCGUUGCAGCAACUGUUUAUUGGAGUUCCUCCAUUUGGUUCCCGUUUGAGCCCUAGCUGCUAAUUAAGUAGCCCAGUUCGGUGUCUGACCGUGGCUAAUGUGUUUCCACGCUCCCCGCCCCAGUCCUGACCUCUACUCAAAUAUGGAACACGCCAUCCUGUCACCUUUGAUGGGUCUCGAAUAUAACUUGGGCUGAUUAAGAGAUCAAUCAUCUAAAAAGCAAUUGCUUGCUUUACCCAAACAAAAAAAAAAAAAGCAAUUGCUUGAUGAGAAAAUAAAAUCCGAGCCUAAACAAAGCCAGCACUGUUGGUAAUCAAUCCUGUAUACGUAGCGAGUAGUGAAUCAAACCACCAGUCCUGUCUCCUGUUAUCUUCUCCACCCUUCCUCCCCAUCCUCACCCCUCGCUUUCUCCUCCUCUGGUCGUUCCAGUCCGCCCCGACGCAUCUCGAUCUGGCUCGGAGGCACCACGCAUAGAAGUCGGUAACCUGGUUCUGCCGAAUUUGAAGGCGCGCGUUGGAGAUUCGUUUGCAGCGGGCAUGUAAUGAUUCAGCCAGGGUACCACAAUCGGCUCUAAAAAAUUCAUGGGACUUAGCAUGAGCUGCUGUCUUUGACCGAACGCUCGGCGAUUUCAAAAAAUCCGCCUAAGCGGAGUCCAUGACCGUGUGACGUUUAGAAAGUAGAGAAAUUAUACUCGGGCCUAUUCCGUGGGAACCGGGAGGUGAAGUGAUGGAAGUUUUAAACUUAAUUAACACGGACUUCAGGUUAACACCCAUAGUUUUAUAAGUAGCCCUGGCAGAAUUUUGUGGUGCACGUAAGAGAAGUCUGCGUGCAAGUCUUUAGAUGGAGAAUAAUUUUUUAAUUUUAAACUAGAAAGUUUCCACGGCUGGUUUGACCGUCCUGCUGCUCCCCUGCCCGGCAACCUACGGUAUUCGCAAAAAAGACAGC